rnacentral:tRNA from 1 species
GGUAUUAGCUCAGAUGGUAGAGCACUUGACUUUUAAUCAAGGUGUCGCGGGUUCAAUUCCCGCAUGCC